rnacentral:piRNA from 1 species
UACCAAGAAAUACGGUUGACUCAACAAGC